rnacentral:rRNA from 1 species
UACCCGCAGCACAAGUGGUGGUCAUUAUUAUUGGGCCUAAAGCGUCCGUAGCUGGCUUGUUAGAUGCCUGGGUAAAUCGAUGCGCUCAACGCAUCGAAUUCCGGGUAGACCGGCAAGCUCGAGACCGGGAGAGGCGUGAGCUACUCGAGGGGUAGGGGUAAAAUCCUGUAAUCCUUCGGGGAGGACCAGUGGCGAAGGCGUCACGCUAGAACGGCUCUGACAGUGAGGGACGAAGCCCUGGGGCGCAAACCGG